GGGGUUAUAGUUCAGCUGGUAGAACGCUUGUUUUGCAUGCAAGAUGUCAUCGGUUCAAGUCCGGUUAACUCCA
rfam:Bacterium TMED88 isolate TMED88 MHASMcontig_369914, whole genome shotgun sequence.